UGAUGAUGUUAGCACGCAUGUGCAGUUGGUAGCUAUGGUGACGUUGUUACGGCACGGAGGUGCGUGCGCAGCUCGUAGGUAUGGCUGGCGGUUCUUGGUCCACCCCAGGUGUGGCCCCUGAGCUUUCUUCAUCCGCCGUCAUCACGGAUCCCGGAUGAUGUCGUGCUUUUCUAAGUCUGGAUUCGGGUCGUGGCCAGUGGAGGGGCCCACCGAGCGGAAUGGUUGACUGGCAGCUCUUCUGGGUGACGCACAGGAAAUCCCACGAUUCUAGAACUAGAAGGGAGCUGAGGCCAUUGCUGCAUUGGUUGGCAGGCUGUUGUGUGGAAUUUCUGCCAGGAUGAGGACCUGGAUACUGAGAAAUGAGAGGUUCAGGAUUUUGGAGCCAGCUAGAGUGAAGUGGAAGCAUGAAGAUCAGGAGAUCAGGUCAGCCCUGAGUUUGAGGCCAGCCUGAGCUACAUGAGACCCUGUCUCUAAAUAAAUAAAUAAUAAAUAAAUAAAUACAGCUUUAACUAUGAUGCAUC
rnacentral:lncRNA from 1 species